CAGGCCCUGUCUGUAGGGAUCUUUCCCUACGUGUUAAAGCUGCUUCAGAGCUCAGCCAGAGAGUUGCGGCCACUGCUGGUUUCAUCUGGGCUAAAAUCCUGGCUGUGGACAGUUCAUGUCAAGCAGACCUGGUAAAAGACAACGGACACAAGUACUUCCUGUCUGUUUUGGCCGACAGUUACAUGCCAGCUGAGCAUCGAACAAUGGCUGUCUUCAUACUGGCUGUUAUCGUCAACAGCUACAACACAGGACAGGUACGAGUCUGUGUGUGUGAGUUGUUGUCUGCUGUCUGUCUGCUUGCUAAAAGCCCAAAGGGAGAACGUAUCAAAUUAUUCAUUUACUUCCCCCACCAGAAUUGUGGCGGGUUCUUUCGGGGGCCAGACGUCACUUUGAGAGAUGACUCUAUCGCCAAUUGUGUAUUUCCGGGAGAUAUUGGUUAUGUGACAUUUUUGUCACCGACAGUUCCCUCUCUAAUCUCCGUCUCCAUCCUAGCCACCCUCAUGGUGACGCUUUAUCACCACAAGUGUCACUUCAGUCUGCUCCUGGCCUCCGGUGUUCAAUCCCAGAAGCCUUUUGUUUCUGACACUGAUCAAACGUUCAAGGGUUUGAUGUUGGGGUGAUGUAGCCCGUCAUUUCAUGGCGUAUACAAACACAAACACAUAAAACUCACAUACAUAGUAUUCUUGACACGCUAUUUCACAAAGAAAUAUUCCACCAUCACUCCUUUUCACUUCCAGUCUCUUCCUCUCUGCAGUUAUUUUUCCAUCUAGUUGUGAGGGUUAUUUAACUCAUUCAUUUCUGUCUUAACUACUUUACAGUUCUUCUCUCGCUUGACAUUAUAUUAUUUUAACAAAUCAGAAAAGCUAUAUGUGCUCUCGAGCUCAGACACAGCCAUUCUUCUUCCAUACCACUGUGUACUUAAUGCUUCUACCUCUCUCACAGGCCUGUAAAUAAUAGAUGAUACCGAACAAUACAGAAAGAGACUCUGCUGGUUCCACAUCUCCAUUAUUUAUCCCUCUGACUUUCAACAACAGUGCUCAUUACUGCGGUAUCGUUUUUGCAAACAUGUCACAGAGCACUGGCAUCUUAAUAUGCCAGCUCUCCGGGUUCAGCAGGGAGCUGGGAUCAGAAAAACCUGGGAACGACGUCUGUGAGAUCUGAGGCACAUGAAGAAAAUAGAAAGGGGGGGAAGAGAUGCGAGGGGAGUGUGUCACUGCUGUUAAAAGAUUUGUUGUCGGGACGCCUCAAUCUGCAGGAGACAAAAGAGGAUUCUCAGCACAAUAACUGUGUUCAUCCGCUUAC